rnacentral:lncRNA from 1 species
UAAACCCUAUACUGUAAAUCUAUCUGAAAUGAUGCGUCUGUAUUUUGCUGUGCCAGGCUGGCGACAGCUGGAAGACACAGGAAUCUCCCGCCCCCGUUCCCCCACUCUGCUGUGCUGGAGCCUGGGGCGUGUUGGCAUGUAGCCUGUAGUGUGUGGGCUGUCUGGGAGGAGUGUGCAUGUGGAAACGAACGGAGCCCCUGUAAAUCUGGGACACCCCAACGAAGCGACGUCAGACCCCGCAUACUAGAUGACAACACUGGCAGCCACCCCAGGGAACGCUGAGAUCCCACGCUCACUUGGAACUGCUGGAGCUGCAUGGAGCCAGUGGCUAAUGCCAAGCUAACCGCAAGGCUGAAUGCGAAACACAUCACGACGUCGAAUUAUGUGAGGAAGUUGAUGUUCCCUGCAAUCACCACGGUAGCUAAUUCCUGCUAUUCUAUCAGACUUUUUCCCCCAAUACCAAUUUCUCC